ensembl:lincRNA Gm44670 predicted gene 44670
ACUUCUAACAGUAUCUCUCAAGACCGAUACAGUUGAGCUCCAUCUGCCCUUCUAACAUCGGCGGCCUGGCAACAGUGUCUUGCUAAGCUGGGAAACAUGGUAUGGUGAGAAGGUCUCUAACUUCGGUCAAGACUCAGUUCUGCCACUCUCCACAAUGACUCUGGGCAAGGCUUCACUUUUCCUGAUGGAGCAAAAGGAGUAUCAGGAGAUAAAUGGUGAUGCCAGACUGGAUCUCAGACAACACUGGAAGCAUCUCCAGGCUUUCCUAACACCAGAUUAAUCCAUAUGAAUGGAAAGGACAAUUCAUUUGUCCUUCCCUGUGACCCUCAUUCUGUCCCAGAUGGACCACGCUAAAGAGGAUGUAGAGUAUGAAGUCUGUCUGAAUAUGUGAAAGGACUGACACCAGGGUUGUUGUGAAGCUGUGGGGCCUUUGUUGAGCCAGAGAUACGGCUUGAAGGGAGAAAAUGAAACAUAGGUUGUGGCUCAGUUCUCAGCUAAGUACCCAGUACCCAGUUGAGUAGAGUAAGUGAGCUGCCUAUGCAAGUCAGCCAGAGGAAGACACAGAUGUCAGGGAAGAAGCAGGGCGUGGCUCCACCUAAAUGAGGAGGGGGAGCUCUAUGCCUGGCUGGGAGACCCUGUGGGUACUGGUGAUGACCAGCCCACACUCAGCCCUGAGCCAUAAAGACACAAAAGAAACCCCAAAGGAAGGAACGAACUGACUUGUCAAUCAUUCCCUACAGUUUUUAUUGAAGCAGGUCUGCCCAGCCUCUGCCUGCCUGCAGGAACUUAGAGACACACUAGCACUCUAUGGACGAGCAAAGACCAAAGUCAGGAGCAGAUCUUCAUCAAAUGGUGAGGAUUCCAUCUCAUCAGCCAGAGCAGUCAUCAACGAAGCCAAGGACAGCUCUCACAAGUUGUCCUUGAACCUCCACACACGGGCAUAUAUAUGACUAAAUUUAAUUUGUUAAAGCCAAAUUUUUUUAAAAAUUAAAAAAAAAACAAGCAAAA